rnacentral:sRNA from 1 species
UGCAUCAUAGACAAUUAUACGUGGACAGC